AUUGAACGCUGGCGGCAGGCCUAACACAUGCAAGUCGAACGGUAACAGGAAGAAGCUUGCUUCUUUGCUGACGAGUGGCGGACGGGUGAGUAAUGUCUGGGAAACUGCCUGAUGGAGGGGGAUAACUACUGGAAACGGUAGCUAAUACCGCAUAACGUCGCAAGACCAAAGAGGGGGACCUUCGGGCCUCUUGCCAUCGGAUGUGCCCAGAUGGGAUUAGCUAGUAGGUGGGGUAACGGCUCACCUAGGCGGCGAUCCCUAGCUGGUCUGAGAGGAUGACCAGCCACACUGGAACUGAGACACGGUCCAGACUCCUACGGGAGGCAGCAGUGGGGAAUAUUGCACAAUGGGCGCAAGCCUGAUGCAGCCAUGCCGCGUGUAUGAAGAAGGCCUUCGGGUUGUAAAGUACUUUCAGCGGGGAGGAAGGGAGUAAAGUUAAUACCUUUGCUCAUUGGCGUUACCCGCAGAAGAAGCACCGGCUAACUCCGUG
rnacentral:rRNA from 1 species